rnacentral:rRNA from 1 species
GUUGACGGGGGCCCGCACAAGCGGUGGAGUAUGUGGUUAAUUCGAUGCAACGCGAAGAACCUUACCUGGUCUUGACAUCCCGGAGACCCUUAGGAAACUAGGGGGUGCUUCCAUCUGGAAGAAUCUGGAGACAGGUGCUGCAUGGCUGUCGUCAGCUCGUGUCGUGAGAUGUUGGGUUAAGUCCCGCAACGAGCGCAACCCUUGCCUUUAGUUGCCAGCAGUUCGGCUGGGCACUCUAAAGGGACUGCCGGUGUUAAACCGGAGGAAGGUGGGGAUGACGUCAAGUCCUCAUGGCCUUUAUGACCAGGGCUACACACGUACUACAAUGGCCGAUACAAAGGGCAGCGACACUGCGAGGUGAAGCCAAUCCCGUAAAAUCGGUCUCAGUCCGGAUUGGAGUCUGCAACUCGACUCCAUGAAGUUGGAAUCGCUAGUAAUCGUGGAUCAGCAUGCCACGGUGAAUACGUUCCCGGGCCUU